GGAGCCGGAAGUUUCAUUCGCGCGGCCGCGCGGGGCAGGCGGUGCAGAGGGCGGGCAGGUUCCCCGGAAGGACCGCUCCGCUCUCGCCCAGGUGGAGAAGGCGGCGCGUAGGGGGACGUCUUUAGCUUCCCCGCCCUUCCCUCCAGAUGUCAGCCUUUCGCCUUACGCCGCAUUUCGUCCGAAAAGCUGGUACCCAAAAGACGGCCCCUCCCUUCGGACGGAGGCGUCAGAGCCGGACCCUCUUUCGCCCCACAACGUCGCACCCACUCCCAAGUCCUGUGACUUUGAAACCUUCUUCCUUGACACCAUACCCCGCGCUGCCCCUCAGCAGACAUCUACAGCCUGGAGAAGGCCGCGAAGCUGGGAGUCAGGCUUAGGCUGUGAACCCAGGGAGCUCCGGAGCUCCUCGCAGCGUGCAGGUGGUGGCGGCCGGAGCACGAGGGUACGUGCACAGUCCAGAUUUCGUGGAGUCUCAGGACACAAGGAAACCCUUAGUCUUCAGCUGCACUGUCCCAAGGCUCCCGUCAGACACACCCACCUGCACCUACACCCACACUGAACCAGAGCACUAAAAUACAAGGAAACUUUUAUUUUCAA